GGAGUAUAGUUCAAUGGCAGAGCAUGUGUUCUGUGUGGGUGAGGUCCUGGGUUCAAUCCCCAGUACCUCCA
rnacentral:tRNA from 1 species